GAUGAACGCUGGCGGCGUGCCUAAUACAUGCAAGUCGAGCGAACAGACGAGGAGCUUGCUCCUCUGACGUUAGCGGCGGACGGGUGAGUAACACGUGGAUAACCUACCUAUAAGACUGGGAUAACUUCGGGAAACCGGAGCUAAUACCGGAUAAUAUAUUGAACCUCAUGGUUCAAUCGUGUAAGAAGGUUUUGCUGUCACUUAUAGAUCGCUCAGCGCCGCAUUAGCUAGUUGGUAAGGUAACGGCUUACCAAGGCAACGAUGCGUAGCCGACCUGAGAGGGUGAGCGACCACACUGGAACUGAGACACGGUCCCGACUCCUACGGGAGGCAGCAGUAGGGAAUCUUCCGCAAUGGGCGAAAGCCUGACGGAGCAACGCCGCGUGAGUGAUGAAGGUCUUCGGAUCGUAAAACUCUGUUAUUAGGGAAGAACAAAUGUGUAAGUAACUAUGCACGUCUUGACGGUACCUAAUCAGAAAGCCACGGCUAACUACGUG
rnacentral:rRNA from 1 species